rnacentral:lncRNA from 1 species
UUAGAUUAUCAAUUUAAUGUACUGAUUUGUUUAGCUUUGUCUUCUAAGUUAAAUUAAGAUGUCACCCUUAUGUCAUGCUUAGUGCAUGUAAUGAUUACUUGUAAAGAUCCUAGCAAAUGGACACAAAUAACAAAUUCUGAACAGAACACGCGAGGAAGAGCCUAAUAUUGCAAUAGACAUGAGAGUUGCAUAGGGUCAAAAAUAACACUGAUGUUAGUUGUAAAAUAAUUUCACUCCUUUAUACCUUGCACUCUCCCAGGUCGAAUCAGCUUUGCUUUUGGCCAAAAUCGAUGAUUCAUAAAGGUGAGAAAGUGAAAAAAAUCCAGUGCUUUGAUUUUUGUCAUGAAAUGGUAACUGUUUGAUAAUUUCUUAAAGUCUAUUGCUAGCUAGUCUUCUAAACUCUAAGGACAUUGUUUAAGAUUUUUCUAAAUGAGAUAAUUAUUUAUUGAAAAAUUAAAUAGAUCUCUUCUCAAUGUAUCAAA